GUGUGUGGCUCAGUGAUAGAGUGCUUGCCUAGCAUGUGCGAGGCACUGGGUUCGAUUCUCAGCACCACA
rnacentral:tRNA from 1 species